GAACUGAAGAGUUUGAUCAUGGCUCAGAUUGAACGCUGGCGGCAGGCCUAACACAUGCAAGUCGAGCGGCAGCGGGUCCUUCGGGAUGCCGGCGAGCGGCGGACGGGUGAGUAAUGCCUAGGAAUCUGCCUGGUAGUGGGGGAUAACUCGGGGAAACUCGAGCUAAUACCGCAUACGUCCUACGGGAGAAAGCGGGGGAUCUUCGGACCUCGCGCUACCAGAUGAGCCUAGGUCGGAUUAGCUAGUUGGUGAGGUAAAGGCUCACCAAGGCGACGAUCCGUAGCUGGUCUGAGAGGAUGAUCAGCCACACUGGAACUGAGACACGGUCCAGACUCCUACGGGAGGCAGCAGUGGGGAAUAUUGGACAAUGGGCGAAAGCCUGAUCCAGCCAUGCCGCGUGUGUGAAGAAGGUCUUCGGAUUGUAAAGCAC
rnacentral:rRNA from 1 species